AAUCAACGCUGGCGGCGUGCCUAACACAUGCAAGUCGAACGAGAAAGUGGAGCAAUCCAUGAGUAAAGUGGCGACCGGGUGAGUAACACGUGACUAACCUACCUUCAAGUGGGGGAUAAC
rnacentral:rRNA from 1 species